rnacentral:rRNA from 1 species
UACGUAGGGUGCGAGCGUUGUCCGGAAUUACUGGGCGUAAAGAGCUCGUAGGUGGUUUGUCGCGUUGUCCGUGAAAACUCACAGCUUAACUGUGGGCGUGCGGGCGAUACGGGCAGACUGGAGUACUGCAGGGGAGACUGGAAUUCCUGGUGUAGCGGUGGAAUGCGCAGAUAUCAGGAAGAACACCUAUGGCGAAGGCGGCGCUCUGGGCCGGUACUGACACUGAGGAGCGAAAGCGUGGGGAUCAAACAGG